AUUGAACGCUGGCGGCAGGCCUAACACAUGCAAGUCGAACGGUAACAGGAAACAGCUUGCUGUUUCGCUGACGAGUGGCGGACGGGUGAGUAAUGUCUGGGAAACUGCCUGAUGGAGGGGGAUAACUACUGGAAACGGUAGCUAAUACCGCAUAACGUCGCAAGACCAAAGAGGGGGACCUUCGGGCCUCUUGCCAUCGGAUGUGCCCAGAUGGGAUUAGCUAGUAGGUGGGGUAACGGCUCACCUAGGCGACGAUCCCUAGCUGGUCUGAGAGGAUGACCAGCCACACUGGAACUGAGACACGGUCCAGACUCCUACGGAAGGCAGCAGUGGGGAAUAUUGCACAAUGGGCGCAAGCCUGAUGCAGCCAUGCCGCGUGUAUGAAGAAGGCCUUCGGGUUGUAAAGUACUUUCAGCGGGGAGGAAGGGAGUAAAGUUAAUACCUUUGCUCAUUGACGUUACCCGCAGAAGAAGCACCGGCUAACUCCGUG
rnacentral:rRNA from 1 species